GUUAAGAUAUGACUUGCUCCUCCUUGUCUUCCGCCAUUAUUGUGAGGCCUCCCCAGCCAUGUGAAACUAUAAAUGUUUCAGAGUGCUGCCAACAACCAUCCUGCAACCAUGAGUGGCAAGCCCAAGAUCAAAAACCAAAUAUUGAGGAUGGCAAAGAAAAAAGAAAGAGACUGGGCUGUUGCGGACAUCACUGAGCCACCUUGCCAAACCUGGAGGAGGAAGAGGCAGAGCAAGACGGCUCAAUAGAAGACUCCACCGACUGUCCUCCCCACUGGAACACCAAAUUGAACAACUAUCCACACAAAGAAGCACCUUCAUAACAACCAAAAAUCAGGUGCCAGACAGAAAGUCAUCUCUCUGCUCAUCUGAGACAAAGGCAGAUUCAUUGAGCCAGACUAAGGCGUAAGUGACUAUUCCUUUUUGUUCCCCAACAUGUAAAUUGUGUAUUCAGUGAAAGGCUGAUCAAAGAGUCAGAAGAAUGUAACUUUGUGUCUCUUAUCUACCUGGAACCACACCUUAUCUACCUGGAACUAUCUCCUCCCCAUCCCUCCCCAUCCCGCCGUGUUUUGAGUUGUCCUGCCUUUCUGGACCAAAUCAAUGUAUAUCUUACACAUAUUGAUUGAUGUCUCAUGUCUCCCUAAAUGUGUAAAAGUGAGCGGUACCCUGACCACCUUGAGCACGUGUUGCCAGGACACAGCCUCCUGAGGGUACAUCCUUAACCUUGGCAAAAUAAACUUUCUAAAUUGAUUGAGGCCUGUCUCAGACACUUUGAGUUCAUAAUACACGAAAACUAAAAAGCAAGAAAUUAAAAGAUACCACCAGAGAAAAUCGCAUUCACUAAAAGGAAGACCACAAAACAAUCAGAAAACAAAUAACAAAAUGGCAGGCAUAAGUCCUUGCUUAUCAAAAAUAACAUUGAAUGCAAAUGAAAUAAACUCUCCAAUCAAAAGACAUAUCAUGGCUGAAUGGAUUUAAAAACAAGACCCAAUGAUCUGUUGCCUAUAAGAAACACAUUUCAUCUAUAAAUAUACAUAUAGACUAAAAAUAAAGGGAUGGAAAAAUAUAUUCCCUGCAAAUGGAAACUAAAAAUGAGUAGGAAUAGCUAUACUUAAUCAGAUAAAAUAGAUUUCAAGACACAUGCUACCACGCCCAGUUAAAUUUUUUUUUAAGUUUUUGUAGAGACAGGGGUCUUGCUAAGUUGCCCAGGCUGGUCUUGAACUCCCGGUCUCAGGCCAUCUUCCUGCAUCAGCCUCCCAAAGUGCUAUAGGCAUGAGCUAAUGGGCCUGCACUGUUUUUCUUUUAAUACUUUAGAGACAUUGUUCUACUAUCUCCUGGCUUGCAUUGUUUACACUGAGAAUCUGCUGUAAUCCUUAUGCUUGUCCCUCUGUUUGUAAUAUGCCUUUUUUCUCUUGCAUUUUUUACAUUUUCUCUUUGUCACUAAUUUUAAUCAAUUUGAUUAUGAGGUGCCUUGGCAUAGUUUUCUUCAUGUUUCUUUCACUUGGGGUUUGUUGAGCUUCUUCAAUCUAUGAGUUUACAGUUUUUGUCAAAUUUGGAGUUUUUAGCAAUUAUUUUUUCAGUUUCUUCUCUUUUUCAUUUCUUUCUCUCUUUCUUUCUUUCUUUUUACAAAUAGAGUCAAGGUCUUUCCCUGUUGCCCAGGCUUGUGCAGUGGUACAAUCAUAGCUCACUGCAGCCUUGAACUCCUGGCCUUAAGCAAUCCUUCUGCCUAAGCCUCCCAAAUAGCUAGGACUACAGGUUCAUGCCACCACACCUGGCUAAUAGUUUUCAUUUUUUGCAGAGUCAGGGCCUCACUUUGUGGCCCAAGAUGGUCUUGAACUCUUGGGCUCAAGCAAUCCUCCUGCCUUGGCCUCCCAAAGUGCUGGGAUUACAGGUGUGAGCCACCACACAUAGCAUAUUUUUAUUUUUUCUUAAUUUUUGUCUUUAUUUUGCUUUUUAGUUUUUCUUUCAAUCAGCUUUCUGAGGUUGAAUGCCCUUCUCUCUUGAAUAAUUCAGAGACUAUAAUUUUAUAUAUAUUAGGCCUCUUGAAGUUGUCCCAUAGCUAAUACUGUAUUUAUUUUCCAUUGCUUUUUUCUUUGUCUCAUUUUCAAUAGUUUAUAUUUCUUUAAGUUUACUAACCUUUUUUCUUUUGCAGCAUCUAAUCUACUGUUAACAUAGUCUCUAUUUUAUCUCAAAUAUUAUGUUUUUUAUUUUGUAUAAUUUCAUUUGAGUCUUAUUUUUUUCUCAGAAAUUGCAGGGAUGAAAGAGUCAUUUAAAUAUCUUCUUUAUAUUAACAUACUUAUGUUUCCUCUACCUUUGUGAACAUAUAAAACACAAUUUAUAAUGCAAUAUAUUCAUUAUAACUUUUAAUAUACUUGCUUAUGAAUUCUAUUCUCAAUCUCAUUUCUGGAUCCCUUUCAGUUAUUGAUAAUUUUUUUUUUUUUUUUUUUUGAGACGGAGUCUCGCUCUGUCGCCCAGGCUGGAGUGCAGUGGCGAGAUCUCGGCUCACUGC